rnacentral:rRNA from 1 species
AUUGAACGCUGGCGGCAGGCCUAACACAUGCAAGUCGAACGGUAACAGGAAACAGCUUGCUGUUUCGCUGACGAGUGGCGGACGGGUGAGUAAUGUCUGGGAAACUGCCUGAUGGAGGGGGAUAACUACUGGAAACGGUAGCUAAUACCGCAUAACGUCGCAAGACCAAAGAGGGGGACCUUCGGGCCUCUUGCCAUCGGAUGUGCCCAGAUGGGAUUAGCUAGUAGGUGGGGUAACGGCUCACCUAGGCGACGAUCCCUAGCUGGUCUGAGAGGAUGACCAGCCACACUGGAACUGAGACACGGUCCAGACUCCUACGGGAGGCAGCAGUGGGGAAUAUUGCACAAUGGGCGCAAGCCUGAUGCAGCCAUGCCGCGUGUAUGACGAAGGCCUUCGGGUUGUAAAGUACUUUCAGCGGGGAUGAAGGGAGUAAAGUUAAUACCUUUGCUCAUUGACGUUACCCGCAGAAGAAGCACCGGCUAACUCCGUG